AAUCAACGCUGGCGGCGUGCCUAACACAUGCAAGUCGAACGAGAAAGUGGAGCAAUCCAUGAGUAAAGUGGCGACCGGGUGAGUAACACGUGACUAACCUGCCCUAGAGUGGGGGAUAACCUCGGGAAACCGGGGCUAAUACCGCAUAACAUCACGAGGGGAAGAUCCUUGUGAUCAAAGGAGCAAUUCGCUCCGGGAGGGGGUCGCGGCUGAUUAGUUAGUUGGCGGGGUAACGGCCCACCAAGACGAAGAUCAGUAGCCGGCCUGAGAGGGCGCACGGCCACACUGGAACUGAAACACGGUCCAGACUCCUACGGGAGGCAGCAGUGGGGAAUUUUGCGCAAUGGGGGAAACCCUGACGCAGCAACGCCGCGUGGAGGAUGAAGUCCCUUGGGAUGUAAACCUCUUUCAGCAGGGACGAAGCGCAAGUGACGGUACCUGCAGAAGAAGCACCGGCCAACUACGUGCCAGCCGCCGCCGUAACAC
rnacentral:rRNA from 1 species